rnacentral:rRNA from 1 species
AAACUCAAAGGAAUUGACGGGGGCCCGCACAAGCGGUGGAGCAUGUGGUUUAAUUCGACGCAACGCGCAGAACCUUACCAACCCUUGACAUGUCCAGUAUGGUUUCCAGAGAUGGAUUCCUUCAGUUCGGCUGGCUGGAACACAGGUGUUGCAUGGCUGUCGUCAGCUCGUGUCGUGAGAUGUUGGGUUAAGUCCCGCAACGAGCGCAACCCUCGCCUUUAGUUGCCAUCAUUUAGUUGGGCACUCUAGAGGGACUGCCGGUGAUAAGCCGGAGGAAGGUGGGGAUGACGUCAAGUCCUCAUGGCCCUUACGGGUUGGGCUACACACGUGCUACAAUGGCGGCGACAAUGGGCAGCGAAGGGGCGACCCGGUGCAAAUCCCAAAAGACCGUCUCAGUUCGGAUUGUACUCUGCAACUCGAGUGCAUGAAGGUGGAAUCGCUAGUAAUCGCGUAACAGCAUGACGCGGUGAAUACGUUCCCGGGCCUUCGUACUACACCGCCCGUCCGACACCAC